GCGCCAAUAGCUCAGCUGGAUAGAGCAACGGCCUUCUAAGCCGUAGGUCAUGGGUUCGAGUCCCCUUUGGCGUA
rnacentral:tRNA from 1 species